rnacentral:rRNA from 1 species
CACACCGCCCGUCGCUACUACCGAUUGAAUGGCUCAGUGAGGCUUCCGGACUGGCCUAGAGGAGUCGGCAACGACACCUCAGGGCCGGAAAGUUAUCCAAACUCGGUCAUUUAGAGGAAGUAAAAGUCGUAACAAGGUCUCCGUUGGUGAACCAGCGGAGGGAUCAUUAGCGAGUUAAACAAACUCCAAACCCAUGUGAACAUACCUACUGUUGCCUCGGCAGGUCGUGCUGUGCGGUGGUGAUACCUACCCUGGAGUAGGAACCUACCCUGUAGUGACCUACCCUGGAGUGGAGCUACCCUGCAGCACGCAACCGGGCCUGCCAAAGGACCCCUAAACUCUGUUAUAACGUACCUCUGAGUCAACUAUACAAAUAAGUUAAAACUUUCAACAACGGAUCUCUUGGUUCUGGCAUCGAUGAAGAACGCAGCGAAAUGCGAUAAGUAAUGUGAAUUGCAGAAUUCAGUGAAUCAUCGAAUCUUUGAACGCACAUUGCGCCUAAUAGUAUUCUGUUAGGCAUGCCUGUUCGAGCGUCAUUUCAACCCCCAAGCCCUAUUUAGCUUGACGUUGGGAAUUUACAGCUGCUGUAAUUCCUCAAAUUUAGUGGCGGAGCUAGGUCAUGCUCUGAGCGUAGUAAUUCUGUUCUCGCUCCUGAAGCUGCCCUAUAUCCUGCCGUAAAACCCCUAAAUUAUAAUCUGGUUGACCUCGGAUCAGGUAGGAAUACCCGCUGAACUUAAGCAUAUCAAUAAGCGGAGGAAAAGAAACCAACAGGGAUUGCCCUAGUAACGGCGAGUGAAGCGGCAACAGCUCAAAUUUGAAAUCUGGCCUUCGGGUCCGAGUUGUAAUUUGCAGAGGAUGCUUUUGGCGAGGUGCCUUCCGAGUUCCCUGGAACGGGACGCCUUAGAGGGUGAGAGCCCCGUACGGUUGGACACCGAGCCUCUGUAAAGCUCCUUCGACGAGUCGAGUAGUUUGGGAAUGCUGCUCUAAAUGGGAGGUAAAUUUCUUCUAAAGCUAAAUACCGGCCAGAGACCGAUAGCGCACAAGUAGAGUGAUCGAAAGAUGAAAAGCACUUUGAAAAGAGGGUUAAAUAGCACGUGAAAUUGUUGAAAGGGAAGCGUUUACGGCCAGACCUUCUCCUGGCGGAUCAUCCGGUGUUCUCACCGGUGCACUUCGCCAGGUUUAGGCCAGCAUCGGCUUCUGUAGGGGGAUAAAAGCAGUGGGAAAGUAGCUCUCUCGGGAGUGUUAUAGCCCUAAGCAUAAUACCUUUACGGGGGCCGAGGACCGCGCUUCGGCAAGGAUGCUGGCGUAAUGGUCGUCAACGACCCGUCUUGAAACACGGACCAAGGAGUCGAACAUUUGUGCGAGUGUUUGGGUGUUAAACCCUCACGCGUAAUGAAAGUGAACGGAGGUGAGAGCCCUCUAGGGGGUGCAUCAUCGACCGAUCCUGAUGUCUUCGGAUGGAUUUGAGUAGGAGCAUUAAUGUUCGGACCCGAAAGAUGGUGAACUAUGCGUGGAUAGGGUGAAGCCAGAGGAAACUCUGGUGGAGGCUCGCAGCGGUUCUGACGUGCAAAUCGAUCGUCAAAUCUGCGCAUGGGGGCGAAAGACUAUCGACC